rnacentral:rRNA from 1 species
GAUGAACGCUGGCGGCGUGCCUAACACAUGCAAGUCGAGCGUGAUUAAGUGGAGUGAGGACUUCGGUCUGAGUGAAACUUAUGAAAGCGGCGGACGGGUGAGUAACGCGUGGGCAACCUGCCCCAUACAAAGGGAUAGCCAUUGGAAACGGUGAUUAAUACCUUAUAAGUCGGUAGUCUCGCAUGAGAUAGCCGACAAAGAUUUAUCGGUAUGGGAUGGGCCCGCGUCUGAUUAGCUAGUUGGUGAGGUAACGGCUCACCAAGGCGACGAUCAGUAGCCGACCUGAGAGGGUGAUCGGCCACACUGGAACUGAGACACGGUCCAGACUCCUACGGGAGGCAGCAGUGGGGAAUAUUGCGCAAUGGGGGAAACCCUGACGCAGCAACGCCGCGUGAGUGAGGAAGGUCUUCGGGUCGUAAAGCUCUGUCAGGCGGGAAGAAAUGCAUGGAGGUGAACAGCCGCCAUGCUUGACGGUACCGCCAGAAC